ACUUUAUCGAAAUUUUAAUUCCUUCAGUUUCAUUAAGGGUGGGCAGUUCGGGCUGGUGGCAGGUUGGGCAGUUGCGAGUGUCUGUGUGAUGGUGAGGAAAGCGGAAGUUACGAAUGGAAUGCAGGUAGCUUAGGACCGAGGCAGACAGCUUAGGACUGAGGCAGACAGCUUAGAACUGAGGCAGACAGCUUAGGAUUGAGGCAGGUAGGCAGUUGGUAGGAAUCAGUGGGGGGCACUUGUCAUUUUCGGCCAUGGGAUUCAAAUUUGCAUGCCAAGUAUUUGUUACUAACGUUUGCUGUUUUACAUAUUUGCUAGGUAUGCGCGUGGCUGCUCUCUAGAGAAGAUCAAUUUAGCAAUUUGCAUUAGCAUUUGCAAGGUUGGUCUUCUCUUCGCCCCGCUACCCCGGCUGGCUCUCCGAGUGCUACCUCUACUUUAAGUAGAAGUACUUCUACUAUAUAUGUUGAAGUGCUUCUGCUUGAAGUAGAGGUAGCACUUGGGGAGCCGGCCGGGGUAGGGGGAUUUUUUUUAUUUAUUUUUUCAAUUCCCAUGGGAAUUGAACUUUUAAUUAAAAAGGAGUCACUUGUAUAAUUAAUGAACAAUUUAUUGAAAAGAACUUGUAAAUUUUACAAUUUGAAUAACAAUAAAAAGAGAACAACCACUGCAUUACUGUACUUAUUUAAAUAACAAUAGAAGAAAACAGGACAUGGCACAAAGAGAACAAUUAACAUUGUGUUCAACACAAGUGAAUAAACACAACAUUAAAAAUACAUUGUUUGCCCGCGAAUUAACAUUAAAAACGUCAACUCUUGGGGAAACAAGAAGAACUUGGUCUUUUCAAGAUAAAUGCUUAUACUUCAAGAUUAAUAAUUAUGAAAUAACUGUAAGUGAUAAAUAUUACGAGUUUAUAGAGUUAUUUCACAAUUACAAAGAAAAUAUAUGGCUCAAAAUGAGAAAAAUAAAGUAAACCGAACAUG